rnacentral:rRNA from 1 species
UGGGGAAUUUUGGACAAUGGGCGAAAGCCUGAUCCAGCAAUGCCGCGUGUGUGAAGAAGGCCUUCGGGUUGUAAAGCACUUUUGUCCGGAAAGAAAUCCUUGGCUCUAAUACAGUCGGGGGAUGACGGUACCGGAAGAAUAAGCACCGGCUAACUACGUGCCAGCAGCCGCGGUAAUACGUAGGGUGCAAGCGUUAAUCGGAAUUACUGGGCGUAAAGCGUGCGCAGGCGGUUUGCUAAGACCGAUGUGAAAUCCCGGGCUCAACCUGGGAACUGCAUUGGUGACUGGCAGGCUAGAGUAUGGCAGAGGGGGGUAGAAUUCCACGUGUAGCAGUGAAAUGCGUAGAGAUGUGGAGGAAUACCGAUGGCGAAGGCAGCCCCCUGGGCCAAAUACUGACGCUCAUGCACGAAAGCGUGGGGAGCAAACAGGAUUAGAUACCCUGGUAGUCCACGCCCUAAACGAUGUCAACUAGUUGUUGGGGAUUCAUUUCCUUAGUAACGUAGCUAACGCGUGAAGUUGACCGCCUGGGGAGUACGGUCGCAAGAUUAAAACUCAAAGGAAUUGACGGGGUCAUAGCUGUUUCCU